rnacentral:rRNA from 1 species
CAGCCGCCGCGGUAAUACGGAGGGUGCAAGCGUUAAUCGGAAUUACUGGGCGUAAAGCGCACGCAGGCGGUCUGUUAAGUCAGAUGUGAAAUCCCGGGGCUCAACCCCGGAACUGCCUUUGAUACUGGAAGUCUUGAGUAUGGUAGAGGUGAGUGGAAUUCCGAGUGUAGAGGUGAAAUUCGUAGAUAUUCGGAGGAACACCAGUGGCGAAGGCGGCUCACUGGACCAUUACUGACGCUGAGGUGCGAAAGCGUGGGGAGCAAACAGGAUUAGAUACCCCAGUAGUCCCUGUCUCUUAUAC